AUUGUUUUGGCAGAUUAGUGCGUUAAAUUUAGAAUUUAGAUAUGUAUGGGUAAUACAAGCAAUA
rnacentral:tRNA from 2 species